rnacentral:Y_RNA from 1 species
AGUUGGUCCAAUGCAGUGGUAUUUACAACUAAUUGAUCACAACCAGUUAGAUAUUCUUUCAUUCCUUCUCAACUCCCACUGUUUCACUUGACCAUAAA